UAGGUGGCGAGCGUUAUCCGGAAUUAUUGGGCGUAAAGGGUGCGCAGGCGGUUUGAAAAGUUUAAGGUGAAAGCGUGGGGCUUAACCCCAUACAGCCUUAGAAACUGUCAGACUAGAGUACAGGAUAGGGCAAUGGAAUUCCAUGUGUAGCGGUAAAAUGCGUAGAUAUAUGGAGGAACACCAGUGGCGAAGGCGGUUGCCUGGCCUGUAACUGACGCUCAUGCACGAAAGCGUGGGGAGCAA
rnacentral:rRNA from 1 species